AGCAAGUAGCAGAGGAAGGAGGCAGUAAAUACCAAACUCCCUGUUCACCCAGUUGCUCGCUGCCGACAUUCUCUUGACUGUUUCAGGUCAUUGACGAGACUCUGGACGUUAAGGAAAUGAUUUUCAAUGCCGAGAGAGUUGGAGGCCUUGAGGAAGAGCGGGUACGUGUUUAGCUCCAGAACCUAAGGUUUCCUGUCCAUCUUAGGUAUUUCUCCUCUGGACCUUCUCAGUUCAAGUAGAAAGUGGGAGAGAUGCCUGAGUUAAUAAGGGUCCCUCAUCCCCAGCUUCCCAUACUUUUGGAUAAGAAAGCUAAAAUUAAAAUCUCCAUGGAGAUGGGGAAGAGUGGGCGUUCUCCACAUAUGGGUGGUUCCUGCAAAGCAGGAUCUUGGUGCCGCUUUGGGUUUUAGGGGCUCGACCUUCCAGGAGCAUGGCCCUCAGUGAGUUACUUGCCUCACGGCUGCCAGAUGGUCACUGGGACUUUGUUCCACGUCUGCUUUAUUACGUAGGAAUCCGUGGGCCCACUGCGGGAGGACUUCAGUCUGAGUAGCAGUGCCCUCAUUGGCCUGCUGGUCAUCGCAGUGGCCAUUGCCACGGUCAUCGUCAUCAGCCUGGUGAUGCUGAGGAAGAGGCAGUAUGGCACCAUCAGCCACGGGAUCGUGGAGGUUGAUCCAAUGCUCACCCCAGAAGAGCGUCACCUGAACAAGAUGCAGAACCAUGGCUAUGAGAACCCCACCUACAAAUACCUGGAGCAGAUGCAGAUUUAGGUGGCAUGGAGUGUGGCAGCCCUGGCGGAGGGGUGCAGGCGGGCUGGAAGAUCCCACGAUUCCGAUCGACUGCCAAGCGGCAGCUGCUGCCAGGGGCUGCGUCUGACAUCCUGACCUCCUGGACUGUAGGACUAUAUAAAGUACUACUGUAGAACUGCAAUUUCCAUUCUUUUAAAUGGGUGAAAAAUGGUAAUAUAACAAUAUAUGAUAUAUAAACCUUAAAUGAAAAAAAUGAUCUAUUGCAGAUAUUUGAUGUAGUUUUCUUUUUUAAAUUAAUCAGAAACCCCACUUCCAUUGUAUUGUCUGACACAUACUCUCAAUAUAUAAAUGGGAAAUGUCGAUUUUCAAUAAUAGACUUAUAUGCAGGCUGUCGUUCCGGUUAUGUUGUGUAAGUCAACUCUUCAGGCUCAUUCACUGUCCUGGCUUUUAUUUAAAGAAAAAAAAAAGGCAGUAUUCCCUUUUUAAAUGAGCUUUCAGGAAGUUGCUGAGAAAUGAGGUGGAAUAGGGAACUGUAAUGGCCACUGAAGCACGUGAGGAGACCCUCGCAAAAUGAUGUGAAAGGACCAGUUUCUUGAAGUCCAGUGUUUCCACGGCUGGAUCCCUUUGUGUCUCCAUAAAAGUCCUGUCACCAAGGACGUUAAAGGCAUUUUAUUCCAGCGUCUUCUAGAGAGCUUAGUGUAUACAGAUGAGGGUGUCUGCUGCUGCUUUCCUUCGGAAUCCAGUGCUUCCAUAGAGAUUAGCCUGUAGCUUAUAUUUGACAUUCUUCACUGUCUGUUGUUUACCUACCGUAGCUUUUUACUGUUCACUUCCCCUUCCAACUAUGUC
rnacentral:sRNA from 1 species